rnacentral:rRNA from 1 species
UUUGCCUUUUAAUUGGGGGCUGGGAUGAAAGGUUUUAUGGGGAAUAGCUGUUUCAGAAUAAAUAAAUUGAAUUUAAGUUUUGCAUAAAAACUUGCAAAUGUUCUUGAGGGACGAGAAGACCCUGUGGAUUUUUAUUUGUUAAAAAAUAAAUUUUAUAAUAUUUUAUUUUUUAUCCAAAUUUGGUUGGGAUGACAAUAAAAUUAACUUUAUUCAGAGGAUAAUAAUUAGAUCCUUUUUAAGGAAAAAAGAACAAAUUACCCCAGGGAUAACAGCGUAAUACUUUUGGACAGGACAAAUGGAUAAAAGUGUUUGCGACCUCGAUGUUGAAUUAAAAUAUCUUUAUUAAGCAUAAAUAAUAAUAGUAAGUCUGUUC